GAGCCCGCGCCCGCGCCCCCCGCGCCGCACCAGCCCAGCCUCUGCCCUCCUGGACGUCUGGAGCCGCCCGGUUGCGGCCGAAGAGGCCAAGGACGCUCGUUUUCCAGGGGAAAAAGGCGCGGGUGUGGAGACUGAAGACAGCGCUGGGGUUUCCGCCCCCACACCCGGGGCACCCUUUCUGGAUGGGGCGGUCCCGCCGCGGUCUUAGUCCGACUUCCCGCCCGGGCCCGCGGUGGGAGUGUGCACUUCCAUUCUGUCCUUUUAUUUUUCAGGUGUCUCCUUGCUAACUCCCCUGACCCGGGCUUGAACCCAGGUCGGGCAGCUCAGGGGUGAGAGUUUCCACCUGGAGCAGAUGAGCAGAGGGCCACGCUGAGAUUUCAGCCUGUGGGGCUUUGCAGACCCUCCCGCUCCUAGGAAAACUCAAAGCCCUGGCCUGGGCUAGGGAUGUACCCUAGGAUUGGGGACGGUAGUAAUUCCUGUGUGUGCAUCAAAACACCCUGUUAGGCCUCAGAAGCCAAGAAAGAAAUUAGAAGCUCCAAGAAAGAAAGAAGUGCCCAGACAGGAGCUGUCAGGAGUGUCUGCGCCGACAGGCUGGGCCAGCUCCAGCUCCCUUUGCCCUGCAUGGGUGAUGGCUGAACUGGGGGGCACUUCUUUAAGGGUUAUCAGGUAAAAUAUAUGUACAGGUCGGACAGUGAGUAAAUGUUUCUGCACUUUUCCUUUUGGCUUGGAGAUUUAAAGAAACGCGGUUUUGUUUGUUCAGAUACAUCGAAUUUUCUUUGUCUGGGGUUUCAGGGACUCUGUGUCCAGAAUACAUUAGUUCUGGUUUAAGAAAUAGGUUGCAAAGGAGAGGGUGGAAGAUUGAGUGACACUGUUGAGCUCCAAGAUCAGAGUCCACUUGGGCAAGCCAGUAGAGAAAGCUACAGAGCAGCCGCUUCCCUCUCUCCCUCCCAGAACCCCCACCCUUGGGGGCAGGGUGGUCUCCCGGUUAGAGCUCUGCCUUACGCUUAAGGAAACCAGAUUUUAGAUAACCCCAGAGGACCAGAGUAAGCACUACAUCCGAGAGCACAAGGCGAGAUUCGGUUUUGCAACUUAACUAUGGAACUAGUCAGGAGACACAAAAUCUGCCCCAGCCUGGACUCCUAUCAGUUAUGGCCUUGUCCCACUCCCCACCUAGCCGAAGAAGGAGAGGUUACCAGUUGACAUGGCUGGAGGUUUAGACUCACUCGAAGGUCCUGCGUAGCCAGUGAGGUUUCAUGAACAGAUCCAUCCAAAAUCCUCAUGGACAGAGAAUUCCAUUCCUCGGCCAUGUGCCCGUCCUUUGGGAAGACGCCCCCUCUGCUUUCCUCCUUAUUCAAGGUGCUUCACCACUGCUCGAGCGACAUCAGAAGCUGUCCAAGACUGCUUUAGACACCAAGACAGCUCUCUUGUCUUGUGUCCCUGGUCUAUUUUCUUAAAAUAUCUGUCGCUGGGGAUACACCUUUGUCUGCAGGAGGCCUGAGCAUUAUGCGAGUUAUUUCUUUGGAGAGGCAUCACAGACCCCCGCAUUUGCUCCAACGUGC
rnacentral:lncRNA from 1 species